rnacentral:lncRNA from 1 species
UCAUUAAAUCAAAACUUACGUGGAUACAAUUUAAAUAAGAUAUUUUUUCUAUUUAAGGUAAUAUAAUAUAAGAUAUAUAUUUUAGUAUAACUCUCCUAUAUUAACAAGCUUUAACACAUUCAGUGGCCAUGAUAUAUGGGUAGCAUCACGAAGGUUUUACCGAAGCUACUGACGAUGCAUAACUUAUGUGAGUAGUACUGUGUAACUAAAUAAAUGAUUAAAGUAUGUGGUACCAGCCAAGUGGAGCUUGUUCGAGAUGGGCACCAAACUGAGCCUACAUACACGAACUAUAAUAUAUUAUUAUGGUUCUGUGUAUGCAGGCUCACUCAUUACUACUGUAGUGAACAAUAUGAGAUGUAAUAAUAUGAGAUAUACCUAUUAUAUAUUAUGGUAUAGCUCUCCAUGAGUGCCAAGUUUUAAGCUUAACUGAUAACAACUAACGGAUACUCUUUUAUCCAAAAUUUUAUGAAAAUUUUGAAUGGUCAUAUUGGUAUUAAUUCCACAACCCCUUCCUAUAACAAUAUGCCCAUUGUUUGAUGCUAUUGCAGUAGUUCUACUGGAAAUACUUACUAAAAUUUUAUGUAUCUGCAUCACUUAGAAGUCUACCCAAAAAGCUAUUAAUACUCUCUAAACCAUCAUUAAUAGAUCUUGUAUACAUAAUAGGAUUUUUUUUAGAAUCAGAUAUUUUAUUAAGAUUUACUUGCCAUGCCCUAUCUAUGUGGCAGGCACUUAACAGUCUAUUAGGAGCAAUACCCAUUACAUUUGACGAGGCAUUGUAAAAUGUGUCACUUAUGCCUGACAUGAAAACAUUUUACUAUGCAUAUAAUACCAACACAGACAUGUAUUUAAAAAAAUUGGUAAAUAAAAGUAGGUAUCUUUUCUAUUUGAAAAUAAGAAAGCAGUACAAAAUCCAUUCCCAAAUUCAUCUUUUACUAAUACUGUCAUAAGUUCAAAGUCAUAGGAAUUGAGCCCAUGAGUUCCAUCGAUUGCGAUAAAGGAUUUACCAAACUUAAUUAACAUUUCCUUUUGGCACAGUAUUAAGGAAAAUAAGACAAAAAUCAUAAAUGUUAAAUUCAGAAUGAAUAUCCAUUAGUAUGCCCUGUUGUUUGUAAAAUAAUAUUGGA